UACGGGGGGGGCAAGCGUUGUUCGGAAUUACUGGGCGUAAAGGGCUCGUAGGCGGCCAACUAAGUCAGACGUGAGAUCCCUCGGCUUAACCGGGGAACUGCGUCUGAUACUGGAUGGCUUGAAUCCGGGAGAGGGAUGCGGAAUUCCAGGUGUAGCGGUGAAAUGCGUAGAUAUCUGGAGGAACACCGGUGGCGAAGGCGGCAUCCUGGACCGGCAUUGACGCUGAGGAGCGAAAGCCAGGGGAGCAAACGGG
rnacentral:rRNA from 1 species